AUCAUAAGCAAAUAAGGGCGUAUGGGGGAUCCUAGCUCUCAGAGGCGAUGAAGGACGUGAUAAGCUGCGAUAAGCUGCGGGGAUUGGCACAUACGAUGUGAUCCGCAGAUUUCCGAAUGGGGCAACCCGGCAUGUUGAAGGCAUGUCACCAGUAAUGGAGCAAACCCGGUGAACUGAAACAUCUAAGUAGCCGGAGGAAGAGAAAACAAUAGUGAUUCCGUCAGUAGUGGCGAGCGAACGCGGAAAAGCCCAAACCAAUUAGGUUACGGCCUAAUUGGGUUGUAGGACUACAAUAUUUGAUGCUAAAAGAAUAAGAAUCCUUUGGAAAGAGGAGCCAAAGAAGGUGAUAGCCCUGUAUUGGUAAUUUUAGUUAUUGAUAGUAGUAUCCUGAGUAGUGCGGGGCACGGGAAACCCUGUAUGAAUCUAGCGGGACCAUCCGCUAAGGCUAAAUACUCCUGAGAGACCGAUAGUGAACCAGUACCGUGAGGGAAAGGUGAAAAGAACCCUGAAUAAGGAGUGAAAAAGAACCUGAAACCAUACGCUUACAAGCGGUCGGAGCCUUCGGGUGACGGCGUGCCUUUUGCAUAAUGAGCCUACGAGUUACCGUUGCUAGCAAGGUUAAGUGUUUCAGACACGGAGCCGUAGCGAAAGCGAGU
rnacentral:rRNA from 1 species